rnacentral:rRNA from 1 species
UACGUAGGGUCCGAGCGUUGUCCGGAAUUACUGGGCGUAAAGAGCUCGUAGGUGGUUUGUCGCGUUGUUCGUGAAAACUCACAGCUUAACUGUGGGCGUGCGGGCGAUACGGGCAGACUUGAGUACUGCAGGGGAGACUGGAAUUCCUGGUGUAGCGGUGGAAUGCGCAGAUAUCAGGAGGAACACCGGUGGCGAAGGCGGGUCUCUGGGCCGAUACUGACGCUGAGGAGCGAAAGCGUGGGGAGCGAACGGG